rnacentral:rRNA from 1 species
CUGAACUCAGUCGAGAUCCCCCGCUGACUUUAAUGAUAUAAUUAAGCGGAGGAAAAGAAA